AAGUCGUAACAAGGUAUCCGUAGGUGAACCUGCGGAUGGAUCAUUAUUAAUUAUAACUGUGAUUGAUUUACAAUAUUCAUAUUGUACAUCUUUCAUGUUACAAUCAUUCUAUGUGAACUGUUGGACAUAUCGAAGUCACUGACGUGAAUUUGAUACUUUCCGUACUAUCAUUGUAAUAUUAUCAUUCAUAAACUAGAAAUCUAAAACUUUUAGCAACGGAUCUCUAGGCUCUC
rnacentral:misc_RNA from 1 species